GGGAAUAUGGCCGAUUGGUCUAAGGCGCCAGACUCAAGUUCUGGUGGGCACCAGCCCGCGUGGGUUCGAACCCCACUGUUCUCA
rnacentral:tRNA from 1 species